GAUGAACGCUGGCGGCGCGCCUAACACAUGCAAGUCGAACGAUUAAAGCACCUUCAGGUGUGUAUAAAGUGGCGAACGGCUGAGUAACACGUGGGCAACCUGCCCCUUUCAUUGGGAUAGCCACGGGAAACCGUGGAUAAUACCGAAUACUUCGAGACUUCCGCAUGGAAGACUCGAGAAAGCUCCGGCGGAGAGGGAUGGGCCCGCGGCCUGUUAGCUUGUUGGUGGGGUAACGGCCUACCAAGGCAAUGAUGGGUAGCUGGGUUGAGAGACCGACCAGCCAGAUUGGGACUGAGACACGGCCCAGACUCCUACGGGAGGCAGCAGUGGGGAAUCUUGCACAAUGGGCGAAAGCCUGAUGCAGCGACGCCGCGUGCGGGAUGAAGGCCUUCGGGUUGUAAACCGCUUUCAGCAGGGACGAGGCGAAAGUGACGGUACCUGCAGAAGAAGCCCCGGCUAACUACGUG
rnacentral:rRNA from 1 species